GUUGUUUAUAAAUAUAAUUAUCUAAGUACUUUAAUUUCACAUUUUAGAUAAUUUAGGACUUUUAAUUUUAGGAUCUUUAAUUAAAAAAAAAGAAGAAAGAAGAAAGAAAAGAAUAAAAGAGGUUAAUUAAAGACAAGGGUUUUUAUUUGGUUUUGGGCCAAUUUAAGCACCCCAAUUCGGCCAAUGGCUUCCCCCCCUCAAAACCAAUUAACCACCAGCCCAAACAUUUCCCUCUAGAGCCCCAACCCAAAGAAAAUCGGACCUGACCCACCAAAACAACCCGCCCGUUUGCCCUUAAUAUAAAAUUCCCUUUAUAAUUUCCCCCAUUUGAACCCUAAACCUAAAAAGUCAGAGAUGCGGCGCCCCUUUAUACUGUUCAUCUUCCCCAACUCUCAACUAGCCCUCAACUCACCAUUAAUUCACCCGAGUUCACUCAAAAUGGUCUCCCCUCCACGUCAUUUGAUUCCCAACGGUUUUUUGUCAGUGGGGAGUACAAAUUUUCUCUCCCAAAUAGCAUGAUUUCGGAUUCAAAAGGAUAAUUGUUGGACGAGUGGGAGCCGUGGAUAGAUGUAAAUCGAUCCACGCCUUCCAUUUGUCCCAAAAAUUGUUCAAAAAUCGAAAGAUUUCGGAUAUGUUGAGCAGAAGAUUCGAGAAUUUUCGAGGAUUAUAUAUAGGUGUUAAGCUGUUUCUGGGUCUGUCGCUGCAUAUCCUGGGUUGCAUUGCUGCUUUUGAGGUGUUGAUUUCACUCUGUUGUGGUGCUGUUGUUAAGAAGCUUUAUUUGGUCAUUUGUUGGUUAGUAUACUGAUAUUAGUUAUGUAGAACUUACUCUGCAACUAUCUUUUUUUUUUUUUUGAAAUGACAAGUUGAAUUCUUAAUGCCAUGACUCUGCCUACUUUUACACAUUUCUAAUGUCAAAUGCUGGAUUUCUUAUCUUUUCCUUUUUCUUUACUUUUGGGAUGACGUACUUGAUUGUAUUUGUUUAUUUAAGUUGAGCACUAUUAAGCUUU